rnacentral:rRNA from 1 species
GAUGAACGCUGGCGGCGUGCCUAAUACAUGCAAGUCGAGCGAACAGACGAGGAGCUUGCUCCUCUGACGUUAGCGGCGGACGUGUGAGUAACACGUGGAUAACCUACCUAUAAGACUGGGAUAACUUCGGGAAACCGGAGCUAAUACCGGAUAAUAUAUUGAACCGCAUGGUUCAAUAGUGAAAGACGGUUUUGCUGUCACUUAUAGAUGGAUCCGCGCCGCAUUAGCUAGUUGGUAAGGUAACGGCUUACCAAGGCAACGAUGCGUAGCCGACCUGAGAGGGUGAUCGGCCACACUGGAAAUGAGACACGGUCCAGACUCCUACGGGAGGCAGCAGUAGGGAAUCUUCCGCAAUGGGCGAAAGCCUGACGGAGCAACGCCGCGUGAGUGAUGAAGGUCUUCGGAUCGGAAAACUCUGUUAUUAGGGAAGAACAAAUGUGUAAGUAACUAUGCACGUCUUGACGGUACCUAAUCAGAAAGCCACGGCUAACUACGUG